UACAGAGGGUGCGAGCGUUAAUCGGAAUUACUGGGCGUAAAGGGUGCGUAGGUGGCUAGAUAAGUUAGGUGUGAAAUCCCUGGGCUCAACCUGGGAACUGCGCUUAAUACUGUCAGGCUAGAGUACAGUAGAGGAAAGUAGAAUUUCCGGUGUAGCGGUGAAAUGCGUAGAUAUCGGAAGGAAUACCAGUGGCGAAGGCGGCUUUCUGGACUGAUACUGACACUGAGGCACGAAAGCGUGGGUAGCAAACAGG
rnacentral:rRNA from 1 species